CCUACGGGUGGCAGCAGUGAGGAAUAUUGGUCAAUGGGCGCGAGCCUGAACCAGCCAAGUAGCGUGAAGGAUGACUGCCCUACGGGUUGUAAACUUCUUUUAUAAAGGAAUAAAGUGAGGCACGUGUGCCUUUUUGUAUGUACGUUAUGAAUAAGGAUCGGCUAACUCCGUGCCAGCAGCCGCGGUAAUACGGAGGAUCCGAGCGUUAUCCGGAUUGAUUGGGUUUAAAGGGAGCGUAGAUGGGUUGUUAAGUCAGUUGUGAAAGUUUGCGGCUCAACCGUAAAAUUGCACUUGAUACUGGCAGUCUUGAGUACAGUUGAGGUCGGCGGACUUCGUGGUGUAGCGGUUAAAUGCUUAGAUAUCACG
rnacentral:rRNA from 1 species